rnacentral:rRNA from 1 species
AGGUAAGCUACUAAGAGCGAAUGGUGGAUGCCUUGACUGGUAAAGGCGAUGAAGGACGUACUAGACUGCGAUAAGCUACGGGGAGCUGUCAAGAAGCUUUGAUCCGUAGAUUUCCGAAUGGGGCAACCCAAUGUAUAGAGAUAUACAUUACCUAUAUAGGAGCGAACGAGGGGAAUUGAAACAUCUUAGUACCCUCAGGAAAAGAAAUCAAUAGAGAUUGCGUCAGUAGCGGCGAGCGAAAGCGCAAGAGGGCAAACCCAGUGCUUGCACUGGGGGUUGUAGGACUGCAAUGUGCAAGAGGUAAGUUUAGCAGAACAUUCUGGAAAGUAUAACCAUAGAGGGUGAUAGUCCCGUAUGCGAAAAACAAACCUUAGCUAGCAGUAUCCUGAGUAGGGCGGGACACGAGGAAUCCUGUCUGAAUCCGGGUCGACCACGAUCCAACCCUAAAUACUAAUACCAGAUCGAUAGUGCACAAGUACCGUGAGGGAAAGGUGAAAAGAACUGAGGUGAUCAGAGUGAAAUAGAACCUGAAACCAUUUGCUUACAAUCAUUCAGAGCCCUAUGUAGCAAUACAGGGUGAUGGACUGCCUUUUGCAUAAUGAGCCUGCGAGUUGUGGUGUCUGGCAAGGUUAAGCAAACGCGAAGCCGUAGCGAAAGCGAGUCUGAAUAGGGCGCUUAGUCAGAUGCUGCAGACCCGAAACGAAGUGAUCUAUCCAUGAGCAAGUUGAAGCUAGUGUAAGAACUAGUGGAGGACUGAACCCAUAGGCGUUGAAAAGCCCCGGGAUGACUUGUGGAUAGGGGUGAAAGGCCAAUCAAACUUCGUGAUAGCUGGUUCUCUCCGAAAUAUAUUUAGGUAUAGCGUUGUGUCGUAAUAUAAGGGGGUAGAGCACUGAAUGGGCUAGGGCAUACACCAAUGUACCAAACCCUAUCAAACUCCGAAUACCUUAUAUGUAAUCACAGCAGUCAGGCGGCGAGUGAUAAAAUCCGUCGUCAAGAGGGAAACAACCCAGACUACCAGCUAAGGUCCCUAAAUCUUACUUAAGUGGAAAACGAUGUGAAGUUACUUAAACAACCAGGAGGUUGGCUUAGAAGCAGCCAUCCUUUAAAGAAAGCGUAAUAGCUCACUGGUCUAGUGAUUUUGCGCGGAAAAUAUAACGGGGCUAAAGUAAGUACCGAAGCUGUAGACUUAGUUUACUAAGUGGUAGGAGAGCGUUCUAUUUGCGUCGAAGGUAUACCGGUAAGGAGUGCUGGAGCGAAUAGAAGUGAGCAUGCAGGCAUGAGUAGCGAUAAUUAAUGUGAGAAUCAUUAACGCCGUAAACCCAAGGUUUCCUACGCGAUGCUCGUCAUCGUAGGGUUAGUCGGGUCCUAAGUCGAGUCCGAAAGGGGUAGACGAUGGCAAAUUGGUUAAUAUUCCAAUACCAACAUUAGUGUGCGAUGGAAGGACGCUUAGGGCUAAGGGGGCUAGCGGAUGGAAGUGCUAGUCUAAGGUCGUAGGAGGUUGUACAGGCAAAUCCGUAUAACAAUACUCCGAGAACUGAAAGGCUUUUUGAAGUCUUCGGAUGGAUAGAAGAACCCCUGAUGCCGUCGAGCCAAGAAAAGUUUCUAAGUUUAGCUAAUGUUGCCCGUACCGUAAACCGACACAGGUGGGUGGGAUGAGUAUUCUAAGGCGCGUGGAAGAACUCUCUUUAAGGAACUCUGCAAAAUAGCACCGUAUCUUCGGUAUAAGGUGUGGUUAGCUUUGUAUUAGGAUUUACUCCGAAAGCAA